rnacentral:rRNA from 2 species
GUCGAGCGCGAAAGUUCUUCGGAAUGAGUAAAGCGGCGGACGGGUGAGUAACGCGUGGGAAUCUGCCUGGUAGUGGGGGACAACAGUCGGAAACGACUGCUAAUACCGCAUACGCCCUACGGGGGAAAGGGGGGGAUCUUCGGACCUCUCGCUAUCAGAUGAGCCCGCGUCGGAUUAGCUUGUUGGUGAGGUAAAGGCUCACCAAGGCGACGAUCCGUAACUGGUCUGAGAGGAUGAUCAGUCACACUGGAACUGAGACACGGUCCAGACUCCUACGGGAGGCAGCAGUGGGGAAUAUUGGACAAUGGGGGCAACCCUGAUCCAGCCAUGCCGCGUGUGUGAAGAAGGCCUUCGGGUUGUAAAGCACUUUCAGUGGGGAGAAAGGUGGUUUGGUUAAUAACCGAAUCAAUUGAUGUUACCCACAGAAGAAGCACCGGCUAACUCCGUGCCAGCAGCCGCGGUAAUACGGAGGGUGCAAGCGUUAAUCGGAAUUACUGGGCGUAAAGCGUACGUAGGUGGUUUGUUAAGCCAGCUGUGAAAUCCCCGGGCUCAACCUGGGCACUGCAGUUGGAACUGGCAAGCUAGAGUAGGGUAGAGGGGUGUGGAAUUCCAGGUGUAGCGGUGAAAUGCGUAGAUAUCUGGAGGAACAUCAGUGGCGAAGGCGACACCCUGGACUCAUACUGAC